rnacentral:tRNA from 5 species
GCGGGUGUAGCUCAGUUGGUAGAGCGUCAGCCUUCCAAGCUGAAUGUCGCCGGUUCGAACCCGGUCGCCCGCU